rnacentral:rRNA from 1 species
UACGAAGGGGGCUAGCGUUGCUCGGAAUCACUGGGCGUAAAGGGCGCGUAGGCGGCCAUUCAAGUCGGGGGUGAAAGCCUGUGGCUCAACCACAGAAUUGCCUUCGAUACUGUUUGGCUUGAGUUUGGUAGAGGUUGGUGGAACUGCGAGUGUAGAGGUGAAAUUCGUAGAUAUUCGCAAGAACACCAGUGGCGAAGGCGGCCAACUGGACCAAUACUGACGCUGAGGCGCGAAAGCGUGGGGAGCAAACGGG